rnacentral:rRNA from 1 species
UACGGAGGGGGCAAGCGUUAUUCGGAAUUAUUGGGCGUAAAGGGCGCGUAGGCGGCUAGAUGUGUCAAAGGUGAAACCCCUCGGCUCAACUGAGGAACUGCCUUUGAAACUGUCUGGCUUGAGGCCGGGAGAGGGUAGCGGAAUUCCCAGUGUAGCGGUGAAAUGCGUAGAUAUUGGGAGGAACACCAGUGGCGAAGGCGGCUACCUGGACCGGUUCUGACGCUGAGGCGCGAAAGCGUGGGUAGCAAACAGG